rnacentral:misc_RNA from 1 species
CUGAAUUGUCAACACGAGUUGUUGCUGGUCCCCAAAUGGGGGCAUGUGCACGCUCUGUUUGCACAUCCACUCACACCUGUGCACCCCGUGUAGUUCUAUGGCUUGGGGACCCUGUCCUCUUGCUGUGGUUCUAUAUCUUUACACACACUCUGUAAUAAAGUCUCAUGGAAUGUAUGCCGCGUUUAACGCAAUACAAUAUA